rnacentral:rRNA from 1 species
UACGGGGGGGGGCAAGCGUUGUUCGGAAUUACUGGGCGUAAAGGGCUUGUAGGUGGCCAACUAAGUCAGACGUGAAAUCCCUCGGCUUAACCGGGGAACUGCGUCUGAUACUGGAUGGCUCGAGUUUGGGAGAGGGAUGCGGAAUUCCAGGUGUAGCGGUGAAAUGCGUAGAUAUCGGGAGGAACACCUGAGGCGAAGGCGGGCUACUGGGCCGAUACUGACGCUGAUGCGCGAAAGCCAGGGGAGCAAACGGG